rnacentral:rRNA from 1 species
GACGAACGCUGGCGGCGUGCUUAACACAUGCAAGUCGAGCGAGAAACCUUCGGGUUUCUAGCGGCGGACGGGUGAGUAACACGUGGGUAACCUGCCUCAAAGUGGGGGAUAGCCUUUCGAAAGGAAGAUUAAUACCGCAUAAUAUUGUACUUUCACAUGAAAGAACAAUUAAAGAAGUAAUUCGCUUUGAGAUGGACCCACGGGGCAUUAGCUAGUUGGAGAGGUAACGGCUCACCAAGGCAACGAUGCGUAGCCGACCUGAGAGGGUAAUCGGCCACAUUGGAACUGAGACACGGUCCAGACUCCUACGGGAGGCAGCAGUGGGGAAUAUUGCACAAUGGGCGAAAGCCUGAUGCAGCAACGCCGCGUGAGUGAUGAAGGUCUUCGGAUUGUAAAGCUCUGUCUUUUGGGACGAUAAUGACGGUACCAAAGGAGGAAGCCACGGCUAACUACGUGCCAGCAGCCGCCGUAAGAC